GAAUCUUUGCCUCCUUGCACCCCCUGGAAGACGCGGCACAGUGGUCCCACAAGCAGGACCCACCUCGAGGAUGUGGCGAUGUGGCCCACCAGCGGCUGCGUGGCCCACAUGGUGAUGCCCGACCUUUUUUUUUUCUGGCAUGGCCAGCCUUUUAUUUUUGUGCGCGUGGUGAUAUUUCUGUUAUGGCAAUAAAAAUCGCUCCCGCAGGGAGCAUCGAACCCACGACCUGCCGCACAUUAGCUUAGAAGUCUAACCACUGGACUAC
rnacentral:lncRNA from 1 species